GUAGGGUGUGAGAGGGUGUGAGGUUGUGUAUGGUGUGAGGCUGUGUAGGGUGUGAGGGUGUGAGGUUGUGUAGGGUGUGAGAGGGUGUGAGGCUGUGUAGGGUGUGAGAGAGUGUGAGCUUGUUUAGGGUGUGAGGUUGUGUAAAGUGUUAGAGGGUGUGAGGUUGUGUAGGGUGUGAGAGGGUGUGAGGUUGUGUAAGGUGUGAGAGGGUGUGAGGUUGUGUAGAGUGUGAGAGGGUGUGAGGUUGUGUAGAGUGUGAGAG